CAGUCGCCGCGGUAAUACGAAGGGUGCAAGCGUUAAUCGGAAUUACUGGGCGUAAAGCGUGCGCAGGCGGUUUGUUAAGACAGAUGUGAAAUCCCCGGGCUUAACCUGGGAACUGCGCUUGUGACUGCACAGCUAGAGUAUGGCAGAGGGGGGUGGAAUUCCACGUGUAGCAGUGAAAUGCGUAGAGAUGUGGAGGAACACCGAUGGCGAAGGCAGCCCCCUGGGCCAAUACUGACGCUCAUGCACGAAAGCGUGGGGAGCAAACAGGAUUAGAUACCCCUGUAGUCCCUGUCUCUUAUAC
rnacentral:rRNA from 1 species